GACGUAGGAUGCAAGCGUUGUCCGGAAUUAUUGGGCGUAAAGAGUUCGUAGGCGGCAUAUCAAGUCUGGUGUUAAAUACCGGGGCUUAACCCUGGAAGGGCAUUGGAAACUGAUAAGCUAGAGUGCAGAAGAGGCAAGGGGAAUUCCCAGUGUAGCGGUGAAAUGCGUAGAUAUUGGGAGGAACACCAGUGGCGAAAGCGCCUUGCUGGGCUGUUACUGACGCUGAGGAGCGAAAGCCAGGGGAG
rnacentral:rRNA from 1 species